rnacentral:tmRNA from 1 species
GGGGCUGACCGGAAUCGACAGCUCGCGAUGAUACUGCUGUAAGCAUGCCGAGAUUUGUGUGGGGCCUCGUAAAUCGGAACACUCGAGCCAUAACUGGCGAAAACAAUUACGCACUCGCUGCCUAAUUCUAGGAAUUACGCAUGAGUUGUCUCCGUUGGGAUGGGUUUCUUAGUCCUGGCAUAUGGAGGCAUAACCAAUGAGAAAAUAGUCUGCGGCCCGUUGCGUGCCAAGGGCGAAACAACAGCAACUAAGGAAGCACUGUGGUAAGCCCCCGACCUGGUGUGACUCGAAAAUCAACGGACGGCUAAGCAUGUAGAAAGCUUCAGAUCAGCUUGUCUGGACCAGGGUUCGACUCCCUGCAGCUCCACAA